rnacentral:tRNA from 1 species
GUUUAGGUAGCUCAGUUGGUUAGAGCAAAGGACUGAAAAUCCUUGGGCCAGUGGUUCAAAUCCACUCCUAGACA